UACAGAAGGUGCGAGCGUUAAUCGGAAUUACUGGGCGUAAAGCGCGCGUAGGCGGCUUUGCAAGUCGGGUAUGAAAUCCCCAGGCUUAACCUGGGAACUGCAUUCGAGACUGCAUUGCUAGAGUAUGGGAGAGGGAAGUGGAAUUUCCGGUGUAGCGGUGAAAUGCGUAGAUAUCGGAAGGAACAUCAGUGGCGAAAGCGACUUCCUGGACCAAUACUGACGCUCAUGUGCGAAAGCGUGGGGAGCAAACAGG
rnacentral:rRNA from 1 species